CCCUUCAAGCUCUUCCAGUUCUUUCUCUGAUUCCUUCAACGGGGGACCUAUUCUCAGUUCAGUGGUUUGCUGCUGGCAUUCGCCUCUGUAUUUGCUGUAUUCUGGCUGUGUCUCUCAGGAGCAAUCUACAUCCGGCUCCUGUCGGCCUGCACUUCUUUGCUUCAUCCAUCUUGUCUAAUUGGGUGGCUCUAUAUGUAUGGGCCACAUGUGGGGCAGGCUCUGAAUGGGUGUUCCUUCAGUCUCUGUUUUAAUCUUUGCCUCUCCCUUCCCUGCCAAGGGUAUUCUUUUUCCUCAUUUAAAGAAGGAGUGAAGCAUUCAUCUUUUGAUCAUCCGUCUUGAGUUUCAUUUGUUCUAGGGAUCUAGGGUAAUUCAAGCAUUUGGGCUAAUAGCCACUUAUCAAUGAGUGCAUACCAUGUAUGUCUUUCUGUGAUUGGGUUAGGUCACUCAGGAUGAUAUUUUCCAGUUCCAAUCAUUUGCCUACGAAUUUCAUAAACUCGUUGUUUUUGAUAGCUGAGUAAUAUUCCAUUGUGUAGAUGUACCAUAUUUUCUGUAUCCAUUCCUCUGUUGAAGGGCAUCUGGGUUCUUUCCAUUUUCUGGCUAUUAUAAAUAAGGCUGCGAUGAACAUAGUGGAGCAUGUGUCUCUUUUAUAUGUUGAGGCAUCUUUUGGGUAUAUGCCCAAGAGAGGUAUAGCUGGAUCCUCAGGCAGUUCAAUGUCCAAUUUUCUGAGGAACCUCCAGACUGAUUUCCAGAAUGGUUGUACCAGUCUGCAAUCCCACCAACAAUGGAGGAGUGUUCCUCUUUCUCCACGUCCUCGCCAGCAUCUGCUGUCACCUGAGUUUUUGAUCUUAGCCAUUCUCACUGGUGUGAGGUGAAAUCUCAGGGUUGUUUUGAUUUGCAUUUGAUAUGGUGAUUAUCUUAAUAGCCUAAAUAGAAGUGACAAGACCUUUCCACUGUAGGCUGAACCAUUCCCAGGCUGGGAUCCUGGACUGUGUAAGUGGAGAAAGGGAAUUGAGCAGUAUGAUGUAAAUGCAUUUACCUCUUCCUUCCUGUUUGUGGAUGUGGUGUGACCAGCUGCCACAUUGACUUCUUCACUGUAAUGAACUCUGGGACUGUGAGUCCGAAUAAAUCUUGCCUCUCCUACACUGCUUUUACCAGAGUAUUUAGUCACAGCAAGAGUGAACAACACAGAGAAGUGCUUGCUCCAUAAGCAUGAAGAUGUGGAAUCAAAUCUCUAGAACCCCUGUAAAAAGUUGGGUGGUGUUCUCCAUGGCUGUAGUCCCAGCAGUGGAGAGUUAGAAACAGGAAAGAUCAGAUGGGCUUGCUGGUCAGUCAGCCUGGCCAAAUGGCUCACCGAUCUCCAGGUUCAGUGGGAAAUCAUGCCUUGAAAAGUUAGAUGAAGAAUGACAGAAGAUGACACUUGUUAUAAAACCUCUGGGCUUUAUGUGCAUAUAUAUAAUGUGCUUGUAUAUCUACACACACACACACACACACACACACACACACACACACACACACACACACAUCUUAUCUUAGUUCCACACAAUUUUAAAGGAAAAUUUUUUAAUUCGGAAAUAUAAUAUGUUUAUACUCUUUUGCUGGUUGUAAUUCGAAUAUAUUCAGUUCCAAAAGGUAAAAGUUCUCAAUGUUAAUAAUAAUGACAAUCAAUAUUGUUAUUAAGCGCUUAUUAGAAAGCAAUGAUGGAAACUUACUAUUACUAUUGCUUAUUCCUCACUGUAUCACAGGGUUAUUUGCAUCCUAUAGAUAGGGAAAUGAGGUACCAAGAGGACCAGUGUGGUGCAUAAAGUUAUACACUGACUGAAUGACAAAACUAAGAUACGUAGCCAUGCUUGUCUACUCUGAAAUUUUCAUCAUCCUCUAAUGGCAUGUGUCUGCCUGGGACCAGCCAGGUUUUACUGUGUGUUAUGAUAAUGGUGUAUCAAUUUUUGAUUACGAGUAUUCAGAGAGAUACUCAGCCCUAUUCUGCAUCUUUAAUGGCCUUGCGAUAUGCUAAUUAGUAUGGUUGGAUGCUAACAUACUGAAAAUAAAUUCGAAAAUCAUUUGCAUUUCCAAACAGAGUUAAGUGAAAAUGUCAAACAAAUCAUGUAGUGACACUGACAUGAAGUCCCUGUCAUGUUCUCCUCUAUUUCCUGCUGGGCUUCUACUUAGUGAGAACCUGAAGAUGCUAGAUCCAUCUUGAUAGCAGUGUCAAUGCUCUGGGAAUUAGAUACCUAACAGAAAACACAUGCUGGGAAUGAAAAUGGCAUCCCCGAGAGUUCUGGCACCAAAGCAAAGGUUCACUUCAUAAGAGAAAAAUAAUUCCUCAGUUCCAGGUAACUAGGGCACUCAGCUAAAUCCACAUAUGCAGAUUGCCUGGCUUUUCUUGUAUCUCUCUAUGAAUUUUAACAGUUCAAUGGGCAAGAUGGCCACAGACUCUCAUUCCCCAGUCUUGUAGGAAACUAAAUAAAUUCAUUCUGGCACUUGAGGUAUCUCUCUUUCUCAUACUCAUGAGUAGUCAGACCCAGAGCCCAGCUCAUGGUCAGUCCCAAAGUCUACUUAAUCUGUCCUGUUCUGAGCGAGCUCCCAGGGGGUAAGUGAGGUCAUCAAGAAGAACAUUUACCACAAAAUUGAUUUCUAAGGACAGAACAUUCAGUAGGGCUGAUGUCAGGAUGCUGAUUAAAACAAUGACAAACCCUCUGCCACCAUGGCGGCAGACAAUGUGUGGCAUACCUUAGGAUAUGGACAACCCUGAGAAAGUAAAGGAGACAGGAAAGCCACCAGAUGGCUGCAACACUGGUAUUUUUCAUAUCCGUUCUCACCCAGUUGUGACUCUGGUAUAACUUAAAUUGCAUAGAAAAGUGUGUUUUAUAUAUACCCUGGCUAAAUCCGGAUUCCUUCUACAUCUUUCUCGCUCAGUUCCACAGUUAACCUUACAUGGGUGAGAAUGACCUGCUCUAUCACGUGGCAUCUUGACUAUAAGAAAAGCUGGUGUUGACUGUUGGAAUAAUUCACACUAUACCCAUCCAUAAUCGAUACUGUUUCUUCCUAAUAGAAAGUGUAAAAGAAAGAGGAGAGGGACAGUGGCAAUGAGGAGAAGAGAAAGGAGGGAAGAAGAAAGGAUGGGCGAGGGAGUGAGGGAGAGAAGAGGAGAGUGAGGAAAGUGUUAGUUCUAAAAAAGGUCCAUCUUGCCUAAGUGUUCCAAAGUGAGCCAACAACUCUUGGGUUGUAGUUUGGGUUUUAUGGUUUGUCUGUUUACUGAAGUUCAGUCUUUUCAUCAGUCCCGAAAAAUAUGCCCACUACAACUUCUGAUUACAAAGCCCUGUUAAAUGUAACUGGUUUCUGGCAGACAAUCUGAAAAUCACCAGCGAAAUAUGUAUCAAUGGCCUUUUUGGAAAAUAUGCUAACAUGCUGUAAUGCCCUGGGUACGGUAAGAGUUUACACUGGGUAUUGUAGAGUAAUGAGCUUCAGCUUUAUCUUAGAUAUUUUAUAUUGUGAGUGCAAAGACAGAGGGCAGCCAGGAAAAUAAUUCCUUAAUGGUCCAGGAGACGUAUCAUUCCAGAAUGUCUAACAGUUUUCACAUGUAGCCCAGCUGAGCCUCUGUGAGAUUUGAGUGUUCUGAAUUUAAGGAGUUCAUUUAAACCCAUUUUUGUUUUCUAUGACCUUUAAAGGGAUACAUUAUUCCAAUCAUCAUGGCCUAGAAAGGGGGAGGCUGAUCAAAUGAGACUUCUGUAUUGCCUAGGCUGGCAUUAAAUUCAUAAUUCUCCUCUCUUAGUGUGUGCACUGCUGGGAUUAGAGAUGUAUUGUCCCUGCUAGAUUUCACAUAAUACAUGGUAAAAACCUAAAAGCUGACCUUUAAUAAGGUCACCGCCCUUGCAGAAUGAAACCUGUAGCUUGUAACAUGGUGUGAAGAAUGUAUGUUGUAGCCCUACCUGUAAUGUUAGCUUCUGGGCUGACCCAGUUUGUCCAGUGUGCUCCACCAGCGGAAAUGCUGAUGCUUCCUCCCCUGUUCUUUCUUGCCAUUGCUGUUGUCAGGCUGCCUCUUUUAAAGAUGCACUUUCUUCCUUAUAUGUUGAAAAUAGAUUUCUUUUAAAAUUUUAGUACAAUAUAUUCUGAUUAUGGCUUCCCUUCCCCCAAUUCCUUCUAGAUUCUCCCUAUUUCCCCAUCCACCCAAAUCCACUCCCUUUCUUUCUCUUAUUUUUUUUAGGAAACAAACAGGCAUGUAAAAGAUAAUGAUAAAAUAAAACUAAACAAACCAGAACAGGAUAAAACAGAGGAGAAACAGCCAAGAAAAAGACACAGAGACAUCCCAUAAAAACACAAAACUGGAAGCCAUAAUAUACAUGCAAAGCAUCAGAAGGGGGGAAAAAGCCCUGGCAAAGUAUUAUCAGUUGGGGGAUAGCUCCUGAGUUAGAGAUGUGGGCUUGUGUCCACUUCCCCUCUCAGCACUGGAAGACCGUUGGUCUCUGACCUAUGCAGGUCUUGUGUGUUCCUUUCACCUCCCCAACUCAUCUCACUUGUGGAUUAUUGCAAAGGGCAGAAGACAGACACUGGUCACUUCUCUAUUCAGUCACAAUGGAAGAAGAAACAGCGAAGCAGUAGCAUUUGGGUAAAUACUCUUGAGUUAAUUAAACUCGCCGUUAACCCUGUGAGGUAGGCACGCGGAGGACAUAAUGGAAGCACGAUUUGCUAAUGUUUCAGUGCCCUUUCCACCAUCUGGCCCUGCCUUGCUGCCCACACCUGCAGCAACUUACAUCUUGAUGGGUUUUACCUUAUAGGAUUCAUUAAACUCUCACGCUGGUGUCUUCUUAGAAAAAGCUGUGAGAUACAGCUGUAGCUGAGAGUUGAAAAGGAGGGACCCGCUACCCAGUUAGACGAAAUUUGUGCACUUUGUCUUCAGCCGCCAUUCUCCAGACAUUGGCGACCACGAUUCCAAGUUCAUCCCGUCACACAGUUUUCAGCACCAGAAUGGUUUCUUGCUUGCUCCACACUGACUUCCUAUUUUCGGCCCAUCAAUAAACCUGUUUCCAUAUUCCACAAAGCAGAUUCUCAGCAGAAGUCCACAUUGUGUCGUUUUUCUCCUAAUGAGAACUCUGCUAUGGCACUGUUGAGAUUUCACUGAGAUUUUCUUCCUCCUCCUUUCCGUCGUUGCUUCCUUGGACAGAUUAGACAAUAGCUUUGUAAAUGUUGUGACACAAUUGCUACAAUAAUGAAAACCUGCUGGAAUUUUUAUUUUUUACUUUCCCUUUAGACAUAAUCAGUCUCCUCAUCCUCCCCAGGCAGAGCCUUAUGUGUGUGAGUUUAUAUUCACAUGUUAAACAGACAACUACCAUGUUUAAAAAAAUUCAAUUUGGGGGGAAAAGGGCAAAAGCUUUGUUUUCUAUCCUUUUUAAAGAAUAAAAGAAUUAUCAAAAGCUUUCCAUAAAUGCCUGAUUGUGGACAUGAGCUAUGACUGUAUCUUCUGGCCCUCCUUAGUAGUCAAUAAAAGUCAAAUUUCAAUGCACAGUCACUAAUACUAAUCAAGGUUUACUUAAUUGGGUCUAAGGACUGUAUUUCCCUUAGGCAUAUAGCCAUUCAACACUUGAAUGUAAUUAGGAGUAGAGUAAAGAGAGAAGCUAGAACAUGUAUUUUUAUUAACUCUGCUACCCACUGUACUAAUAUGGAAAUGUGAAUUUUUAUUUUUAAUAUUUGGACAGCAUACAGUACAGGGUAAUGCCUUCAGAAGAAUUGUUUUUUCAUGUAGAUUUCAUGCAAACCAGACAUAAGUUAAUUUUCAAAAAGUCAAAAUGUAUCUUCUUACUAACCUUAUCUUGAGAAUUUUUUCCAUAAAUACUAUAUUUAUGUUACUUCCACAUUACUCUUUCCCCUUGCAACUCCUAACGCUCCCCAACUCCUUCUCAAAUUCAUGACCAUUUUUUCUUAAUUAUUAUUCUUUCUCUUUCUUUCUGUCCCUCUGUCACAUACUCAUAUACAUACUGUAGAGUUAAUUUAGUAUUUAUCAUAUAUAUAUGAUAUCAAUUAUAUAUCAUAUAUGUGUGUGUGCAUGUGUGUGUUAUGUGUAUGUAUGUAUGUAUGUAUGUAUGUAUGUAUGUAUAUAUAUAAAACUGUCAUCUUGGGGGCUUGGGGAUUUAGCUCAGUGGUAGAGCGCUUGCCUAGCAAGCGCAAGGCCCUGGGUUCGGUCCUCAGCUCCGAAAAAAAAAAAAAGAAAAAAAAGAAAAAAAAAACCAACUGUCAUCUUGGGAUUUGAUGACAACCUGUCAGAGCACUCGUCUCUGGAGAACACUUACCGUCCCUCCCUGAGCAUAUGUUUAUUGGCAAUCGUAGCUCCUCUUCUAGAAGUGGAUCUUCUGAGAUUUCCUCCACACACACCGGAAUGUCAACUGGUGGUGUCAUUGUCCAGGUCUUGUUUAGGCGACUAUGUUGUUAAUGUUUUAUGGGCACAAAAUCUUCUCAAAUAUAAGUAAUACUAUCUCACAGGUGGUGGUGGUGUUCACUGGCCCCCUUUUCAUCCUUUUUUCUGUAACACUGCCUGAGCCUUGGAUGUAAUGUUUGUGUUGUAAAUGUUUCAGAAUGGGGUUGGAUGCCUCUCGGUGGGUUGCUCUCAGAACUUUGACCAGUUGUGGAUUUUCAUGAUGACCUCCAUCUGCUGUAAAAGAAAGCUUCUUUGAUUUAGGGUGGAAGCUAUACCUGUGGAUAUAAGGAUAGGUAUUUAGGAUGUGUUUAGCAAUUACACUGUUUUAGGAAAGUGCUACUAGUAGGUUCUCUUCAGGGUCCAUGAACUUAGCAGCCAUGGGUAAUUGGCCAGGUUUACAGGACCAGGCAUUGAGCAUCCUUCAGCUCAAUUAGAUUGCUGUUGAUUGCUUCCAGGAUUGAAAGGUCACUGAUGCACCCAAGGACAUAUCUUUGCAUGUUGGUCAUUGUGGUUUGUAAGCUUUAUAGGUAGUUAGGACUAUUGAUCAUUUUUCUCCUUUGGUAGCUUGCAUAGCAUCUUUGACACUAGGAGAUCUAAUCCUCAAGAACAAGGCUUCCAGACCAGUUUCAGAUUAGCUCUUCUAAGCCCUGUGUUCAAAGUUGUGCUGUCUUUAGUAGCAGGGUCUUAUCUUCAAGUGCUGGAAGGCAACCAAGGCUGAUGGUUAGAGUCUGCUCUAUCAUUUUGGGAGUCUCUCAGACUGCCUUGACCAACAACUUGAGGUAAAUAUCAGAUGACUUGCACUGCUGUUUUUGUUAGGUAGUCUCCGGCUCUGGGCGGGAGGGUAUUAACCUCACUUAAUUUAUUUGUAUAUACAGAUACACUUAUGUAAGUAUUAUCUAAGUAGAUAUAAAAUAAUGUUUCCUGUGGGUUGAUGUCUAUAUGCAGGUGAGGGCAAGCCAAAGAUAAGGCAAGGCCUGUGAUUGGGCAGUGAAAAAGAAAGGUAGGCUGAGAAUUUUAGAGACUGGACAGGGAGUAUGGACAAGGAAGGAAGAUGGAGGAAGAGAAAGAUGAUCCAGAUUCUGCAUGGCUUUAAAUAGCCACAGGUAACUAUGAAUAUCUUACAGGGGAUGAAUGAUUGCAGGAUAGUUUGUCUUAUCUAGGUGGGUCUUUUAUAUCAAUAUCAAUUGAGUUUAUUGUGUGGACAUUUGUGGGGUGAGAAUUUACUGAUAUAAAUCUGACUGAUAAAUUACAAGCUCAAGAGUUUUGAUUUUGCCAGGUCACUGGAAAUUGUGACUAUACCCACAGAGGGCAGAUGGCUGGGAAUGUGUGCAGAGUCUGUAGCAAGAAAGCCACAAGGCUAGAUUGGUAGUCUCUGCACGGGGCUGGUGUGGUGACAUCGACCCACCAUGGAAAGAUAGCAAGUCUGGGGCUAGCCACGGAAGUGGUGGGACCACUGGGGCCAGAGAGUGGCCGGAGCUAGCGUGGGAUGAUGCGUUCCUUUUAAAAAUAUUUCUCGCUACAGUUUCCCUGUGUUCUUUAUGGCUUCUUCCUCCCUCUGUAUUACUCUUAGCCCUUCUGAAAAUGCAGACCUGCCUUCUUCCUAUUUUCCCUACCAGAGGACUUGUGGCCCUGUGUUCUCUUUCCUAAAAGUCCUUCUAACCCUCCACUCCAUGGUCAUUUUUUACUUUCUUAGUUUCUGUGGUUACUCUAGUUUGUAUACUCCCAUCUAAACAUUAGGACUUGAUUCACAAACAAGAAAGAACGUAAGCUUUGUCUUUCUGGGUCAGCUAACUAACUACUCAAUACAGUAUUUUCAAGUUCCAGCCAUUUGCCUGUAAAUUUUACAGUUUUACUUUUUUUCACAGGUGGAUAAUACUCCAUUGAGCAUAAGUCCCACAUGUUCAUCAUGUAGUCAUCAAUUGAAAGAUAUUUAGGUUGUUUCCAUCUAUAAGCCAUUGCGAAUAGACUGGAAGUGACCAUAGCUAGGCAAGUAUUUGUGGAGUAGGAGAUUGAGUCUUUUAUACAUAUCCCCAGGAGUAGUACAUCUUGCUCAUAUGGUAGGCCUCCAUUUUGGAGUUUGAGAAUUCUCUACACUAAUUUCUUGAGUAGCUGUACCAGCUCAGUUUUACAAUCAAAUACGUUCUCCUUUCCCCAUACCCUUCCCAGCAUUUGUUGCCAGUUGUUUUCCUGAUAGUAACUCUUCUGACUGGAUAAAGAUGAAGUAUUAAAGUAUUUUUAAUUUGCAUUUUCCUAGUGCUUAGAAUCUUGGACAUUUACAAGUUGUUUUUUAGCCAUUUUUUAUUUAUUCUUUUGAGAAGUCUAUAUUUGGAUUUAAAGCCUGACCUGGGAUUUUUUUGCUUUGUUUUGCUUUUUAAUUGUGUCACUUGGUUUUUUGACUCCUUGAUUUUGAAGUUCUUUCUAUAUUUUGAACAUUAAUUCUCUGUUAGUCCAACAUACAACAAAGACUGAUGCUCCACUAUGUUCAUAGCAGCCUUAUUUAUAAUAGCCAGAAGCUGGAAAGAACCCAGAUGACCUUCAACAGGGGAAUCAUCUAGUCAAUGGAGUACUACUCAGCUAUCAAAAACAAUUACUUCAUGAAAUUCAUAGGCAAAUGGAUUGAACUAGAAAAUAACAUCCUGAGUGAGGUAACCCAAUCACCGAAAACACACACAUGGUAUGUACUCACUGAUAAGUGGAUAUGAGCCCAAAUGCUUGAAUAACCCAAGAUACAAUCCACAGACCACAUGAAGCUCAAGAAGAAGGAUGACCAAAUUGUGGAUGCUUCACUCCUUCUUUAAAAGGGGGAACAGACAUAUUCAUAGGAGGGAUAUGGAGGCAAAGUUUAGAGCAGAGACUGAAGGAACGGCCAUUCAGAGCCUGCCCCACGUGUAGCCCAUAUCUAUAUAGUCACUAAAACUAGAUAAGAUUGAUGAAGCUAAGAAGUACAUGCUGACAGGAACGAGAUAUAGAUGUCUAUUGAGAGACACAGCCAGAGCAUGUCAAAUACAGAAGUGAAUGCUAGCAGCAACCCAUUGAACUGAGACUAGGACACCCCCGCAUACCCCCCAUGGAGGAAUUAGAGAAAGGAUUGAAAGAGCUGAAGGGGCUUGUAACCCCAUAAGAAUAAUAAUGCCAACCAAACAGAGCUCCCAGGGACUAAACCACCAUCCCAAGAGUACACAUGGACGGAUCCGUGGCUCCAGCUGCAUAUGUAGCAGAGGAUGGCCUUGUUGGGCACCGAUGGAAGAAGAAACCCUUGGUCCUGCCAAACUUGGACCCCUCCAGUGUAGGGGAAGGAGGUAGAUGGGGAGGGGCUUAUGUCCAGGGAUACUGGAAAGGGGAAUAACAUUUGAAAUUUAAAUGAAAAAAAUCCAAUUAAAGAAAAAAAUUCUCUGUUAGAUGAAUAUCUGGCAAUGAUCGUCUCCCAAUUUGUGGCCUUCCUUUCCUCUUGAUUGUUUUCUUGUUCUACAGAAUGAGGUCCCAUUACUUAUACGCCUUAAUUCUUGGGCAAAUGAAGUCCUUUCCUACACCUAGGUUUUUUUCUAGCAAUUUUAGUGUUCAGAUUUACAUUGAGAUGCUCCAGCCAAUUGGAGUUGACUUUUGUUCAUCAGUGGUAGGUGGUGUCUGUCUUUGAAGAUACAAUGAGUUUCUUGUAGGCAGCGAAAAGAUGGAUUUUCUUUCUAAAUCUAUUUAAGGAACCUGUAUAUUUGUGGAUUUGUAGUCCUUAAUAUUUUAAGUUAUUGCUGAAAGUUGUGUGUUGAUUGCUACCUCCCCUUGCUGUCUGUUUUCCUUAUCUAAUUUUGUGUUAUCAUUGCAGCCUUAUUUUAUUCUAUAGCUUUUUAGCUAUAUGUAUUCCACACUUUGGUCUAAAGUAUUGCUUCCAGUAUUCUCUAUCAGGCUAAUUUAGUGGGUAUGAAUUCUUUUAGCCUGUUUAUGUCAUGAAGUUUUUUUCUUUCCCCUUCAGCUAUGGCAUAUAGUUUUGCUGAGUACAGCAGUCUGAGUUGGUGUCUGUGAUAUUUUAGAACUUGAAGUACAUUGCUGCAGAAUUUUCUGUUUCUUAUAGUUUUAUUUUAAAAAAGCUGUUUAGUCAGUUCAGUAUAAUUGUGUCUGUAUGGGUAUGUCUUGCCUUAGUUUGGGGAAGUUUUCUUCUGUAAUCAUGUUGUAGAUCUGGUCUCUGCCAUUCAACUGGGAUUCUUUUCUUUCUUCUAUGCCUAUAACUCAACCAUUUGGAAUUUACAUAGUGCCCACGGUUCUUGCCUAUUCCUGUCAUAUGUUUUUAACUUUUCCAUAGUCCUUACUUGUGUGGUCCAAUUCUCUUAAUCUAUAUUCUACUUGAUUUGUUCUACUUGUAGAAUUUGCUCUAACAUGAUUUCUAAUUGUGUUUUUGAAUUUUUAUUUAUUUCUAUGCAAGUUCCCAUCAAUACUUUUAUCUCUUAGUUCAGUUUUCAAAUCCUGAAUUGUCUUCAAUGUUUGAUUAAACUAUGUGUUUUCUUGGCCAUCAUUCAGGCAUCUUUUGCUAUUCUCUUUAAAUGACUGAACAGUUUAAUCCUGUCUUCUUUAAAUUUGAAUUCUAUGAUGACAUUUAUGAUAUUUACUUUAAAUUUUUAUUUACUAAAUUUCAUCUAGCUAAUUUCCAUUGAAGAAUAUUUCUAUGGGACUGGUGAUUUUUUUAGGGUGUUGUAUUAUCUUGGCUUUUCACAUUGUUUGUGUUUGGUUGAGAUCUAGGAAUGUCUACCUUUUUUACUGUCUCAGAGUCUGAUGGGAGAUUCUUGGCUGCUUCUAUUAAGUAGAAUGUUUUUUAAUUGUUGUUGCUUAAGCUUGUUUGACUUCAGAUUGGGUAUGAGGAGUUGAUAGGUCAAUCCUUAAGAUAUUCAGUUCUGAUUUGGGGAUGGGAGUGGUUACAAAAGGGAAAAUGGCUGGAUCUGCUUGAGCUGAUGUGCAAACUGUGUUACCCAACCUGUGCCUUGGAGUUUAAGCAUAGCAUGGAUGGGCUGGGGUCUUGGGCACUCACCAGGCUAGGCUGGCUUGUGUACUUUGUUUUUAGCCUAGGAUUCAGUAUUAGGAAUGAUGUGGAGGACUCACAUGGCUGGUUGGAUUGGCACACAAAUGUGUAGCCUUGGCAAGACCUGGAAGCUGGAUAUAGUUCAGGCAAGCUAGGGUGUAUAUAUUACCAGACCCAUGUAUUAAAUGUAUGGCAUUGGCUAGGGCUGGGGGUUGGUUAUGGCACAGAUGGACCAUUAUUAUGUAUAAUAAUGUUUCUUCUUCCCUUUUUUCAGUUAGAGUACAUUGCCUCAUAAACAGAUCCUAGGGCAUGAUUUUAGUUUAAGUGGUUCUUUGAGAAGGUAGAGGAGGAAGGAGAGUAACAUGAUAUCUAGUCUAGACAGAAGGCAGCUUGUGGUAGAUAACAGAAGGUUACUACAGCCAUGUGGAUGCUCUGAGAAAUGGUAGCAGAUUACCUCGCAGUUAUCCCUCCUGAGCAACAAGGUAGCUGGGGUUUUGAAUCCCAGCUUUAUUAGUCUUCUAUUGAAGGAUUUCGGAAGGAUGUUGUGACUGUUUGCAGCUACAGGGGAUGUAGAGAAAGAGACAUGGAAAAUUAGAAGCACCAAUGAACUGAAAAGGCUGAAAUGAUAGGAAAACUAUUCUGCAUUUAUAAAAUACUAUAAAGAACAGAACUAUCUCAGAUCAUGAUAAAAGUUUGCCCUCUGGAGUAGGUAGAGUACUUCCGUGUGUGUGUGUGUGUGUGUGUGUGUGUGUGUGUGUGUGUGUGUGUGUGUGUGUGUGUUUUGUUUAACUUUGUAUUAAAUGAGCUGACAUUUGUGUAUGUAUCAUAUCAAGUUAUUUCCUCCACAUGGCUUAUAUAUUCAGAUAUUCUAACAAAAGAAGAUUGAUUUACUACCUCUAAAAAUAGAUCUUUUUAUAUGCAGGAUUUGUUUUGGUUCUUACUUAGGGCAGUUUAAGGACUGAAGCCUUUCACCUGAGACAGCACUGUCAGUGGGGUAUAUUUUGACAUUAUGGAGUUGGCUUAACUGCAGUAUCAGUCUACCUUCCAAGACAAUUAGCACUAAAAUAUAUUUUGUCUUCACUCUACAUGAGUGUUUAAUUUGUUCACAUAUACCUUGUAUAACAGAACAACAAGUCAACUGUUAGAUCUAAGAGUCGUUGUUAAAAUCAGCAGGCUGCCUACCAUUUAACUUCUAUACAGAUUAUAUAACAUUCCAGGACUAACUUGGUUAGCCCAGUAGCAAAUGUGGUUACUAUGAAUAGAACAACCAUCAUGUCCACUCGCUGAGCACACAUAGUUUUGCCAUUAACAUACUAAUAUUUGGUCACUAAUUUUUCUGUUAUUUUUCUCACGAGUACAAACAAACAGCCUGGGCUCUAGGAAAAAGUCCUAGAAACAACUUUGUUUUGUAUUUGUGGUAAUGGGAAAGAGAAAGUAAAAGCAGAAGAGAGAAAAAGGAUGUAUUAGCAAUUUAUGUGUAGGGAGUAGAAUGGUGCCCCCACCCCCACAAGAACAAAAAUGUUAUUUGUGUGCCCUAAUUGCUAAAACCAGUUAUGGUGACCAUGUUUGGAGAAAGGGUCUUUGUGAGUAUAAUUGAAUAUAGCAAGAUAAGAUUAUUCUAUAUUUAUCACGGGCCUUAAAAUCAGAGGCAGGCUCAUAAUUAAGGGAUAUAAGAGAAAUCAAGAGGAUAUUUGAAACAUAGGGAGAGAAAGGAGAAGAUAUCUGUUAGAUAGAAACAGAUCAGAACCAGUGCUUCCCUAAGCCAAGGAAUGCCCAGCUGCCUGGAAACUAGGGGAGUUAGAAAGGAAUCUUUUCUGCUGCUCUCUAAGGGGCAGAGAGCUCUGCUGAUUCUCUGCCUUUAGACCUCUACCUCCUAGAAUGGUCCAGACUACAUUUAUAUAGUUUAACUUACUUACCUGUCAGUAUUUUGUUACAGGGAGCACUAAGGACCAACUUAGCAGGUAUUUUUAUUAUGGGAGCAAUGGAGGUAAUGGCUUUAUUGCUUACCAUUGUUUAACUUAGUAAAUGCCCCAUCUGUGAUUAGCACAGCCAAAUGGUAAGCAGAAUGGCUCCUCUGUUGAGGAACAUGCCCGACAAUGGCAACUAUGGCUUCAAGACCUUGGGCACAGAGCUACACAGAAGCCCGCUGCUAUAAGGAAGUGAGCAUUGGGGCAGCUGUCUCAAGCCUUGCCAAAGUCAUUUCUCCACUCCACAUUUCUUCCUCCAAAUCUGCCUUCAUUAAAGCCACAUUUCAGGAUCAUAGAUAGAUUCAUAGAUCAAACCCAGCAAUGAACAGUGUGGAUAUUUAGGGUGGCGUGUGUGUGUGUGUGUGUGUGUGUGUGUGUGUGUGUGUGUGUGUGUGUGUGUGUGUAUUUGUUGUACAAUCAUUAAUCUAUUUAAACAGUAAACCAUCAUUUAGGAUAUCUUAGAGGAAUAAUUAUUGUUGUAUUCUAAAACACACUAGUAGUUUAAUGACAUUAAGAUACAGCUUUCUGUCAAGAAUAGCUCUGACACUUAGUGUGCAUAACAAUCCUGUUAUAACUAAUUUCCUUCUUGUGAAAUUUAAAGAUAAGAGCUGUGCAAUAUUAAGAACGAUUUUUAUUGCUAUUAUGCGGGUGUCUGUAUCGUGAAAUUGAGAUCAUUUAUUUCCAUUUGAUAGUUGAGCAAAUUGAUUUUUCAUCAGUCCUGUCUCUUGUUAAUUUUUUCCCUAAUGCCCUUUCUCUGUGUUAAGAGACUGAAUGGUAAGUGUUGCUCAAACAUAUAUCACUAACUGUGAAGUUUACUGCAUUCAUGUCUAAAUAUAUAGCAUAACUUACGGACAGGAGCUUGAAGUUUCAGAUCUUAUGGGCUUGUAGUUAAAAAUGUGUAGUAGUGAUUCCUGAUGUGUGCUGAGGUGGUGGUGCCUUGCUGAUUUUUCAACCUCCUGUGAAGGGCCAGUAUAUUUAUAUUUAAUAAUAUUCAACUAAAUCUGUAUGUGGUAACAGUUUGGUAUCGACCUCCUGUACAAGACUCAGCAGAUUAGCCCAACUUGGAAUAGAGUCAUUCUUGUUGGGUACCACAUAACGAAUAGAUUCACGCUUGUUAGGUACCACAUAACCAAUAGAGUCACUCUUGUUAGGUACCAUAUAACCAAACUGAACUUUAACAUAAGCCUGUUUUGCAACUGUUCACAGGGGACCUUCUAUCUGAACAGACACAAUAAGGAAGUCCUCAAACCUUCUGAGCUAAGAAACCAUGAAAUGAUCUAUCUAAUUUUCAUUCCCUAUUUCUACUUCAGUACGUUUCUGCCUCCUAAGUUGAGAAUCAACACAAUUAUGAAACAACACAAUUCUGCCCUUAGAACUCAAUUUAUUUAAAUUGUUUUUUGAUAGGUUUAACAAUCACAUAGCCACAUCACUUGUGAUUUUAUACUUUUAGAUCACUUCGUGCUUAUUAAUAUUGACACAAAAUGCAUGACUGCUCACUUAGAAGAGUGGGUAAUAACAAAGAUUCAUCACGAAGUGCUGACCAUGCUACGGUUGAAGAUCUCCCCUGUAUCUUCCUCAGCAGCACAUGGCUUAAGCUUCUCAUAUUCCGCUGGCCACCUCCUUAAUGAAAACAGUCACUUUCUUUGCAGAUAUCCUCACUGGGAACACUGGUCAGCUUAUAUUUUGUUUUAGUUAUAAUUGAAACUUUCAGUUGAUCCUUCCUGUGUGUGGACAGUUAUUCUUUUGGAUAUAGCUUAACUUGUGUGCACUGAAAGUUGAGCUGAUGGCUGUCAUCUUUCACUUCUCAAGUUGCCCAGUAAACCAGUUUGGUGCUCUCUUAUAAACCUUGUAAACUUGUAAACCUUGAAAGGUAUAAUCUCUUCCUCUUUUUACAGAAAAAAAUAACCUAAAUUAUCAAUUUGUUCUAGUGGAUUUUGAUGAUGUUUUGGAGGUCCAGCUUUCAAAUCCUCUCAAAUUCUGUAGUGUCUGCAUUGUAAUGUUAGAAUACCGCUUUGGUCUGAAGAGUGAUGCCAGCCUCUUGAAAUGACUCACCAACAAGGGGAUCUAGCUGCAGAGGCCAGGUGAAGGACUGGAACAGCCCUCCUGAAGUUGUGUAUUAGAAUUUUUAUUUGGGUUAAGUUUCAUUUCAGAUGCAGAAAGCUUUAUGAAUGGUAGGUUUUCAGAUAAACAAAUACAUAAUAGGUACUCAUUUUCAUUUAUUUUUUGAUAUAAUAUAUUUUAAUCCAUUUUCCUUUUCUAACAAUUAAUUUAAAAGUGGACUUAUGUGUUCUUUUCUUAGUACUGGAUAUUUUUGCUAUUUUGUUUCACUGGGAACUCAAUGAGUAUAUUGAACUAUACUUUGAAUAUAUAUUGAAGUAUAUUCUUGUUGAACAAGAAUUUUUUAAGAGUUUAAGGCCAGCCCUUAAACUUGACAAUCAUGUACAAAGAAAUGAUAUUUUUAUCCCAUGAACUCUCAUAGGUAUAUCAGACACACUUAAGUUGGGGUCCAUGCCCAGCAGCCGAUGGCCAACUCAAUGGUAUUUUUGCAGACUUUUUAUAUUACAUUUUUUCUUACUGGUCUUUUCAUUGUAUACUAUAGUUUCCAAUUUUGUAUUUUUAUGGGUUUGGUUUUUGGUUUCGUGUGUGUGUGUGUGUGUGUGUGUGUGUGUGCGUGUGUGUGUGUGUGUUUCUUGUAUUUUCUUUCAUUUUAAAAGAAUUCGGGAUUGUUCGGGGUUUUUUUGUUGUUUGUUUGUUUUGUUUUGUUUGUUUUUUUAUUUGCCUAUUUCUAAAGAGAAAGAACAAAAUGAUGUGAAGUUGGGUGGUUGGGCAAUAGAGAUUGUCUGGGAGAAAUUGGGGGGACAGAAAUCCAUGAUCAGAAUAUAGCUUACAGAAGUUUUUCUCAAUUAAAACACACAGACACACAGACACAGACAUAGAUGCAUACAUGUGCGAACGAACGUGUACACACACACACACACACACACACACACACACACACACAAAUUACUAAGUAGAUGUGUGGCUAGGAAUGGUAGUAUAUGAGGUCAGACUGGCCUCACAAUGAGUACUAUGCCAGUCACGGCUUUAUAGCAAGCAUGAUCCUAUUUCAAAAAACAUUCAAAGAUCACCCAAGUAAGGUAGCACAGCCAUGAUUGCCUCUGUGUAAUCCAGCAAAGGAGAAAGACUGAGAAUGAGAAAAGCAGGUUCAUUCUAAAGAGUUGAGCAAGAACUUUGAAAACCCAUGAAGGAAUUCAACAAGGACAGUGAAAGGAAUAAGGAUGUGGGGUAGAGAAGGAAGUCACAGGAGUGGAGCAGAGACUGAAGGAAAGCCUACCCAGAGACUGCCCCACCUGGGGAUCUAUCCCAUCUGUAGACAGCAAACCCACACACUAUUGCGGAUGCCAAGAAGUGCAUGCUGACAGAAGCCUGGUAUAGUUGUCUCCUGAGAGGCUCUGCAAGCCUCUCACAGUCAACUGAGAGCAGGGACUCCAAUGGAGGACUUAGAGCAAGGAUUGGAAGAGCUGAAGGGGUUUGCAACACCAUAGGAAGAAAAACAAUAUCAACCAACCAGACCCCGAAAGGCCCCAGGGACUAAACCACCAACCAAAGAGUACACAUGGGUGGGGGAGCUUCAGCUGGAUAUGUAGCAGAGGAUGGCCUUAUCUGAAAGCAUUAGGAGGGGAAUCCUUGGCCCUGUGGAAGCUUCAGGACCUAGUGUAGGGGCAUGCUAGGGCUCUGAGGCGGGUGGGGUGGGAGGGUUGGAAGCACCCUCACAGAGGCAGGGGAAGGGGGAAGAGGAUACAGAGUUUGUGGAGGAGAAACUGGAUAGGAGAUAACAUCUGCAAUAUAAAUAAAUAAAACAACUGAGAGAAAGAGUGAAGGAGAGGAGGAGAGGGAGGGGAGGGGAAAGGAGAGAGAGAGAGAGGGAGAGAGAGAGAGAGAGAGAGAGAGAGAGAGAGAGAGAGACCCACCUCAGUGGUCUGGAACAGAUCACAUCCACAGACAGUAAACAUGGCACUGGAUAACUCUGAGCCUGAGGCCAGCGAGUAGAUCAAGUGUAGGCACCAGGUCUGUGCUCAUUGCUGUAGUCUGAGAACUCUUGAAUCCUGGGGUUGCAUAUGAUACUCUCAGCUCCAUCAAGUGAUCCACACUCAGGAGGCCAUGAAAGUAUGAAGGGGAGUCUGAUUUCUCCCCAUAGCCAUCUCAGCAUUGUGGUUGCUUCUUGUAUCCCAACCCUGCUGGCAGGUAUCCCCAGUUGAAGCAGCCAGCCCAGUGGGUGUAGUCUGCGGAGUCUCAGGAAAUUGAGCGAGCCUGCCAAGGCCACAGAAAGCAAAGUGUGUCCAGCAGAGCCUCCUGCUAGCAAAGAAGGGAAGCUACUAAUGUUGAAGAUUGUCCUACCAGACACCACACACUUGUACAGUACAGACCCUGCAAAGGCUUAAACUAUAGGAAAGAGUCAACAAGGACAAUGCACAGUCCCCGAAUUCCAUGCAUGUACCAGGCAGAGUGCAACGUUUGAGGUCCCAGGGAAAGUCAUGAUGUCCUGAUUCCUUUUCAGUACAUGUUUAGUAGGAUUUUUACUAUAUUUUACGUAUUUUCACUUUUCAAAUAUAUGUGUUAUCACCCUCGCAUAUCCGUCUAAUCUUGUGCACACCUCCCUCCUCAUUUUGGCAACAUUUCAUUCUUUUGUCUAGUUGGGUUUCCUCCGUGCCCUUUCUCUUUGUGAGGUUCUUUACACGAACUAGUGUUUUGACUCUACCCUGUUGGGAUAUUUUUCUUUAAUUACUUAAACAUAAUUUUUAAACCUCUUUGUUACAUUUAUCUAAUUCUGGUCUUGUUCUUUAUUAAGAAAUUCACUCCUGCUUCUACUCUGUUGCUUUUAUCCUCUUCUCCCCAGUAAUUCAUGUACUUUCCUUUCCUUCUGUUCAUUUAACUUUGUUCCUCUUCUAUUUUCCCCUUCCCUGACUCCCUACUUUAUCUCUUUCAUGUACUGUUUCCAAUCAUUUUAAACUUAAAACCUGAACAUUUUUAACUUUUAGAGUUGUGCUGUAUUAGUUUUGUUAUUUUCAGUUUCUAUAGUCUUGCAGAGUUUAAGGUUGUUCAUGCUACAAUGUUUUGUUUUCUCCUUGCUAAGUGGUACUGUGUGUUGAACUGCAAAGCAGGCUACUAAAUAAGAAGUUUUUCCAGGCCUAAAUCCAGAAGGUGCAUCCAAAGCCACAAAUAUGCAAACCAACACAGAAAAGCAAGAGCAUGAUAAAGAAAGGUAACAUCACCCCUGCAAAAGUUCAUAACUCAAGUAUUGAUUUAAGAAAAUUCUGAAAUAGGUAAAUUCCAAAUGAAGAUUUCAUUCCUAGUACAAGUUAUCAGUGACCCGAGAGACUUACAAAUAAGGCCCUGAGCUCAAUCUGGUCAGAAAGAUCGAGAUAGAAGUCUCCUGGGAAUUGCUGAGUGCGUCUGAUCUAAUAUAUAAGUGAAAUAAAUUAUCCUCUCUAAGGGAAUGACUGCAAUGCUUUGCAGAGUUGAACAAACCCCCAAGAUCCUUCAGAAUGGAAGGUGAGGUCAUUAUUUUCUUCCUUCCAUUAGGCAUCCAUAGGAUGGUUGCCUUUUUAUCCUAGAAGUCCUUCCAAGGACUUGCGCAUGAUUGCAUGGCUGUGCAGCUGCAGAUUAAUGAGCAUUAAUGAAGCCGGGCUCCCAGUCCUGGGUAGCAGAGUUAGGCAGAUCUCUGAGUUCAAGGCCAGUCUGAGUUCCAGGACAGCAAAGGUUACACAGAGAAACUCUGUUUCAAAAAAAAAAAAACCCAAAACAAAACAAAGCAACAGACCAACCAACAAAAACAAAAACAAAACAAAACAAACUCCAAAAUAUCCAUUUGUAGUAAAUAAUAGUGUCUUACCUAGAGAAGAUCAGCAGUGGAAAGGCCGAGUUGAUUUCCCAUCAAGUUCUCCAGUUCCUGUGCUUUUAUCCAAACACAGACUUUGCUUGCAUUGGGUAACCAAAACUAGGUAGAUAAAUGCUUUGUAUGGGCAAGAUUGUAUACAAGGAAUAAUAAUAAUUAUAGUAUAAUCCAACAGGCUACUCUAGAGUGGAAUCAGUGGAAGUUCAUUACUUUUGCAGUAUAUGAUAAUCUUUACAUGGUAAACAUAUUGAUAUUUUCCUCCCUACCUAUGGGGUUUAUUGGCACCUUUGGCUUGGUAGAAGAAGGCUUCCUCAUUAUCAAAGUGAAAUACUUCAUGCUUGACAAAAUCAAAGCCAGGGAAUGACAAAACUUAGAAGUAAAAUCUUUUGAACACCUGUCAUGGGGAGAAAUCCUCUAAUAAUUCCCAGGGGAUUCACAGAGAACACCCUCCCCUACCCCAUGACACCCAUCAACAUGUACAAGAGCAACAAGUCCUUUGGUGAUCGCUCUUCUACAUAAAACAGUUCUCUGGUACUGUUACUGCAUAAAACAUGCUCACUGGUUGGUCAACGUCACUGGAGUUUGACCAACCAGUGUUUUUAAUCUUUUGUGUCUCAAGUGGAUGAUUUCAGGGGAUAAGGGAAGAAAAUGUAUGACAUGAGCAGAAAGAAACUGGGCUGAAUUUAAUCCUAGAGGAAGAGGAAAGAAUGUCAAAUGAGGAUUGGGAAUCGAGUGAUCACUUUAUGAUGACUGCUGGAUAUUUUCCUCAUAGACAAAGCUCACAUUUACAAAUGAGUACUUAAAUGGUUAAACACACGCAUCUCUUAGCAACAAAAUAUCAAUUUGGACAUUGCACAAAAUGUAAUUUAACGGGACUGAAACACUGCUGUCAACCUUGAUGUGUGUGCGUGUAUGCACAAUGCGUGCUCAUGAAUGAUUUGUCUCCUCACCUGUGCUGUUCUGCUUUUGACUGAAGGCUGAUAUUGUUAGAGAACAGGGAUAUUUUGUAAAAUCUCAUCGGGAACAUUCAAAUUGGCAGAUGACUCAGUGCCCAUCUGCAAUAAAUCAAGAUGUACAUCUGACUGGGUUGGUGCUGUGUGCCAGGGCCUGCCUCAACGUGUUCAGUUUCUGAGUGAAUUCUGUCCAAAUUGCCAGUCAGAUAGCAAUUAAUUCCACAGGCAUUUUAUACACCUUACUUGUGCAAAGCGUUUAUUGCAUACUAUAGAUCUAGUUGUUAAGGGUCCUGCUGUCCACAAAGCCAUGGGCUUCUCUUUUAGUUUCCUUGAAACCCAAGCCUUCGACCUCCAUCCUCUAUUUUAUGUAUUUUCAUUCAUUUUUGGACCAGUUAUCAGGAUGCUGAUGCAUCAGUACAGGCUGUCCUGUGUAAGGGAGCCUCUGUGACCACUGUGUCCAUAGCCUUGCAUGGUGGCCUGAUACGACAGUCUAGUUUGGAUUCUUCACAAACAAAAUCCUGAUAUAAUGAUGGAGAUGGGAGUUUAUUGGAUUACUAAUUUCAGUAAAAUGGAAGGGGAAAAGUUAGUUGAGGCAUGCCUUCCUUCUAUCAAAAAAUAUUUAAAUUUUUUUAUUGAUUUGGAGAGAUAUGUGCAUGCCAAAGUACGUGUAUGGGGGUCAGAGGACACUUUAUAGGAGUUGGGUCUUUCCAUAGACCAUGUGGAGAAUCAGGAAUCAAAUAACAGGCUAUUGGGCCUGGUGACAAUUGCCUUUGCCUACUGAGCCAUCUAAAUUGCCCAUAUGAAAGAGAUAUUUUAAAGAUCAGAUUAAGGACAACGGGUUCCUGAAAUGAAGUCUUGUUAGAGCUCUUAUAUGGAGUGGCCACACAUAGGCCAGGAAUCUGGACCCUCACUCCAAGAAACCGUCUUUCAGUGGUUACUACCUGCCUCUGAAGUGUGAAAACAAAACAGAGCAGAACAAACCCAGACCUCUUGCCCUUCCACUCUUCUUUGACAGUGUGCUGAACUGUUAGGGAUGCUUGGGUGUGUGGGCGUGUGGCAUGGUGUUGCUGUGAACUCAGGUGGGACAAGGAAAUGCAGAGCGAGCCACUAGCAGAGGACAUUCCGAAUACCCGAUGUCUAUUGAAGAGGAACUUAGAGAUCACUUACUGUACUGUGUCUCCUGUGCUCUCUAGCUUAUCCACUUCUGAAAAUGAAAAGUUGGAAGAAUCAGCUGUGUCUCACCCCGCUAAUUCUGUGGCAUAGUGUGAUCGUAGACGAUUUGCAAAAUUAGCUCAUUCUGGACAAUCUUUCUCACAAAGAUGACAGCCAGAAAUAUGAUCCUUUCAGAAACAUGAUUGUGAUACUAACUAGGUCUCUAUGGUCAGAUUAUUUAUUUUCCUACUCUUAGGGGAAAUUUCGCAAGUCAUCAGCAUGACUCUGAAAGUAUUACCUGAUCAAGUUUACACAGUGGUGCUGACAGGAGUGGUGUGUCUUAUUAAGUCUUCCCACACCCCUUACAGCUUAAAACCACUAUCUCAUAUAAAUAGCCGGAAUACCCAUUUCAAGUGUAGAUCAUAAUUAUUAUAUAUUACAAACACAUCAAGAAACCAAGAAACAGUUACUUGUCCAAGCCCUCGAGCUUAGUAAGGAAGGAGUUCAGUAUGUGUGAGAUGUACAGAGUCCCUAACACUCUGGGGCAGUCCUGUCAUUUUCGGGGGGUUCAUACUCACUCUGGUUCCCAGGAUGCAUCUAGCUUCUCACUACCCCUCCCAUUCCCUAAGACAGGGAGUCAGAGACUAAAGAGCAAAAGGUGGCAAGUAUUUCUCCUAAUUCCUCUUACUUUAUGCUUCUAUUUAAUACCUUCUUCAUGCCAUAUCCGAAAUUAUAUUCUAAAUACAGGACCCAGAGCACAAUGCCACCCCUCCUUAAAACCCAUCUAAUGGAGUCCUUCUUUUUGUGCAAAAUCCAUGCUUAGUUUACUCAGCUAUAGAAUGUAGAUUAUUUUUUACCCCUUUCUUACCCCUCCAUCCAUGACUUUCAGGUCCAAAGCUUGGCCAUUUUUCUGUUUCAGGUGCCACCCACACCCCACCCCCAGCUGUUACUUACCUCCUGAUAUGACAGCUUCCUUCCUUUCUCCUUGCACCUGUACCUUGCCAGUCCCUUCUUACCAUGCAGCUAUCAAAUCUGUAGCUUUUCCACGCUAAAGGCUCUGCGGACUUGCCCUCUCUGUCACCCCAGUUUUGUCUCCUAGCACCCCUUUGUGAUUUCUUCAUACCGUGUAUGAGAAUAUGAAACCUCCCCUCUUCUAUCUCUGAGAUGACACAAGUGUCUUGCCAUCUCCUAAGACUGUAAAAGACGUUCAUUGUCCGUAAUAUUUUAGUUAAGAAUAUUUCUCUUUAAAGAAACCUUACAUUUUUCUUUACUGAGAGGAAGAGAAAGGAAUGAUGAAGGUUUUCAGAGAAAAAUGUGUGCAUUCACAGGUUGGCCUCUCUCUUAGCUUUUCUGAGUUUAAGUCACAGAGCCUUCAAAAUACCCUCCUCUCUUCCCUGCCCCUCCUCUUGCCUCCUCUGCUUAGAGAAAGGGACGGAGCAUGCAGGGAGGCUGGGAGUGGGAGGUGAAAGAAAGCUAGAGCAGUGAGGAAGCACCUGUGUGCAAAUGUUUGACCCAGCAUCAAGGUUGGCGGUCACUCCCAGAGCUCCACAACUUGCAAUGGACACUCACAGAAUGAGCACACUUCCAAUCAGGUAAACACAUGAGAACAUUCUACAAAAUGCUCCCGUCAAGAAAAAGCUAGUUGUGUCCAAUUUUCCCUAAGGAGUCUGUACUUUGAAAUGAUCAAGAUAUAUUGAGCAUGUUUCUAAUAAAAACUCUAUUUUAGAUAGAAGGCAUUGUGAACUUAAACAUCAUUUUUCUUUCAGAGAAUUUUAGAACUUAAAGUUUUAAUUUUAUACCAGACACAACAUGUUUUGUUAACGAUGAGAGUUUCAUUUUUUUCCAGGCUGGUUGCUGGGGUGUAGAGACUAUCCUCGAGGAACACCUUGGAUACAGUGACAGCUAUGGCCAGUUUCUGGCCAGAAUCAAAUCUGCAGCACAUAUCAAGAUCCAGGGCAAGGGGUAGUUUGCAGGGUUUUAAUUUUCCCCAGCCUUUCAUAUCUCACAGAGAGUUAGAGUUUAGCUUAAAUUAUCUGUAGUAUUGUAUGAAUAUUCACAGUCACCUUAGAAGACAUUUUACAAUGUAUUUAAUAGCACAGCUAUAUUUUAUUUUCUGAGACCAUUGUAUACCCCUCAGAGUCCCCAUUUACUAAGAAUAGCAUUAUAAAUAAAAAGGGGUGGGGCCACACCUGUAUCCUGUCUUUGUUUGCAUUCAAGGCAACCUCAAAUUUGUCAUGUCUCUGAACUCAGCUACAUUUACUACCCCAGAUGGAUUUUUACCACAUGAGCAAUUAAUCUAAUUGGAGACCAUGAAGUGUUUAUGUCAAGGCAAGAGGUGGCAGAAUCGUCAUCGUGGUGGCUCUGCAGGCAGCAAACACAUUUCACUGUGUCCUUCUAGCCUAGCCCUUUGCUGCCCUUCCCUUUCUAUUUUUAUAUUAAAUAGGAGGAAAUUCAGCUAGGCACUCAGAAAACGGGCAGCUUCUUUUAAGAUGCGGUAUAUUUCUAAUUUCCAUACAUUUCCUUCGAGUGCAGUGGCCUUGGGAACACCAUCGCCCUCAGUCCUGACAGGUGUAAAAAGGCAAAUUCUGCCAGGAACUGAUUGAAAUGUUACACUGACUUUUCCAGAACUGGCAUGGUAGGUGACAAAAGACAGCUCAUGUUGCUGGGUCAGGUGAAGUUGAUGCCAUAAUCCCGUUUUACCUAUCUUGAGCUCCUGUGUGAGAAAAUCCUAUGUCGAGGUAUAUUACCAUCACCUCUCAGAACCCCUAAAGGACCUGGCAAAAUACAGCUCUUUCAAGUUUCAUAAUCACACUCUCCAUUCUGAAGGCUCGGGGACCAACAAGUGGAGAAAUCUCCGAAGACCAGGCGGUACGCUCCUUUGUGCAUUCUCUAUGCACAUUGUAAUUUCCUGCAUGAAAAUGGUCUACAGACUGUCCACAAAUAGUCCAGUGUUAUUUGGCUAAUCAAUAUAUGUGGGCCUAGGAUGCCUUCACUCAUAUAGUGAAUGCAUUCCACAGAACACGACAUUUGGAAAUUGAAAGUCAUAUUACAUAUUUUAAUUUUAGAGUCAACAUCAGAAUAAUAAGCAUGUAGUAAAUUUUGAUAGAUUUUUGUAUUUUAAGUCUUAAAUGAUGUGUUAUUUUCUUCGGUUUGUGUGUAUUCUCUGUGAGAAUAGGCCCUUUAUUUCUAUUUUUUCAUGUGUAUAUGUAAGGUGUUAUAUAGGUAUUAUGGUGGUUCAUGGGGGCGGGGGCUGAGUAAGGUUCAUGACAAAAAUGUUGAUAAUCAUGAUCCACUUCUUUAUUUUUUGUCAAAGCAGGCUCUCUUAGUCAAACUAGGGACCUGAUGCUUUGGCUAGGCUCCCUAGGCAGCUUGCUCUGGGUACUCCUUCUCUCUGCUCCUCCUGGCUGGCAUUACAGGCAAACCUCCAUGCCUUAGGAAUUGAUAUAGAUUGUGGGAAUUCCAAGUCCAAGGCUCAAACUCCAAUGCGGCAAUCACUUUAAAUGAGCCAUCUACUCAGUCCCAAGAUUAUAUCUUUAAAGCACAGAAAUAUUAUUUUGCUAUGCUGACAUAUUUCUGAAGUGUCUUAGUUAGGGUUUUAAUUGUCAUUAAAGUUUUAUCACUAGCCAGUGCAACUUGGGAAAGGGUUUAUUUAGCUUACAUGUCUACAUUGCUGUUCAUCACUGAAGUCAGGACAGGAACUCACACAGGGCAGGAACCCAGAGGCAGGAGCUGAUGCAGAGGCCAUGGAGGGAUGCUACUUACCCACUUGCUCUUCAUUGCUUCUUUGGACUGCUUUCAUGUAGAACCCAGGACCACUUGCCCAGGGUUGGCCCCACCUACAAUGGCCUAGUUCCUUCCACAUCAAUCACUAAUUAAGAAAAUGCCGAUAGGCUUGCCUGCAGUCCAAUCUUAAUGGAGGCAUUUUCUCAGUUGAGGCUCUUUCCUCUCAGAUGACCCUGUGUCAAGUUGACAGAAAACUAGCCAGCACAGAGAUAUUUAAUAUUUUCCCAUGCCACCUGGAAAGCUCUUUGGUGGGAAUCUCUACUUGCUAGGAUAUCCCUCAGACUUUCCCUUACCUGCUUUUACCUUGGGUUCCAUGCCAUCUUGCCAGAGAUGUCUUAUUCAACAUCUUACCCUGACUUAUUUUCUUCUUAUCCUGUAUAAUCACAAGGCAUAUUAUGCACUUUGUGUCUGUCUUCCUUGUAUUCAAUUCUAUAACCUUGGUAUUGAUAUUUACUUACAGUAACCUCUGAAGAUCAGCACCUUGCACAGUGUGUGUGUGUGUGUGUGUGUGUGUGUGUGUGUGUGUGUGUGUGCGCGCGCG